GAUGAACGCUGGCGGCGUGCCUAAUACAUGCAAGUCGAGCGAACGGACGAGAAGCUUGCUUCUCUGAUGUUAUCGGCGGACGGGUGAUUAACACGUGGAUAACCUACCUAUAAGACUGGGAUAACUUCGGGAAACCGUAGCUAAUACCGGAUAAUAUUUUGAACCGCAUGGUUCAAAAGUGAAAGACGGUCUUGCUGUCACUUAUAGAUUGAUCCGCGCUGCAUUAGCUAGUUGGUAAGGUAACGGCUUACCAAGGCAACGAUGCAUAGCCGACCUGAGAGGGUGAUCGGCCACAAUGGAACUGAGAAACGGUCCAGACUCCUACGGGAGGCAGCAGUAGGGAAUCUUCCGCAAUGGGCGAAAGCCUGACGGAGCAACGCCGCGUGAGUGAUGAAGGUCUUCGGAUCGUAAAACUCUGUUAGUAGGGAAGAACAUAUGUGUAAGUAACUGUGCACAUCUUGACGGUACCUAAUCAGAAAGCCACGGCCAACUACGUG
rnacentral:rRNA from 1 species